rnacentral:rRNA from 1 species
CUCGUAGGUGGCCAACUAAGUCAGACGUGAAAUCCCCAGGCUCAACUUGGGAACUGCGUCUGAUACUGGAUGGCUUGAAUUCGGGAGAGGGAUGCAGAAUUCCAGGUGUAGCGGUGAAAUGCGUAGAUAUCUGGAGGAAUACCGGUGGCGAAGGCGGCAUCCUGGACCGAUAUUGACACUGAUGAGCGAAAGCCAGGGGAGCAAACG